UACGUAGGGUGCGAGCGUUAAUCGGAAUUACUGGGCGUAAAGCGUGCGCAGGCGGCUCGCUAAGCCAGAGGUGAAAUCCCCGGGCUCAACCUGGGAAUGGCCUUUGGAACUAGCGGGCUCGAGUGCGGCAGAGGGGGGUGGAAUUCCUGGUGUAGCAGUGAAAUGCGUAGAUAUCAGGAGGAACACCGAUGGCGAAGGCAGCCCCCUGGGCCAGCACUGACGCUCAGGCACGAAAGCGUGGGGAGCAAACAGG
rnacentral:rRNA from 1 species